rnacentral:rRNA from 1 species
UACGUAGGGGGCUAGCGUUAUCCGGAUUUACUGGGCGUAAAGGGUGCGUAGGCGGUCUUUCAAGCCAGAAGUGAAGGGCUACGGCUCAACCGUAGUAAGCUUUUGGAACUGUAAGACUUGAGUGCAGGAGAGGAGAGUGGAAUUCCUAGUGUAGCGGUGAAAUGCGUAGAUAUUAGGAGGAACACCAGUAGCGAAGGCGGCUCUCUGGACUGUAACUGACGCUGAGGCACGAAAGCGUGGGGAGCAAACAGGAUUAGAUACCCGCGUAGUCCCUGA